rnacentral:rRNA from 1 species
GUGAAUGACGCCGGAGGUGUAGUUGAGGAGGCCCGGGUACGGGUAGAGCUGACUGUACACCUCCGCCGAGCCCCUCGCCACGUGCGGGUGGCCGACGGUGUCGGUGGAGGCGGGGCGCUCGCUGUACCAGACCUCGCUGCGGAUGGCGGUGGGGUCGAGAGGGGUGAGGUGGGAGCCGACCUGGGCGCGGCCCGUGACCCAGGAGACCCAGAGCGAGGAGGGGUCGGCCGAGGCGGCGAGCGCGAUCUGCUCUGGGGACGGCGGGCGCGCGCGCGGGACCAGGCGGGGGUCGGAGAGCGGGACGUCCUCGCUGCCCUGCCGCAGCGAGCGGUCGAACGCGCGGGUGGCUGGCGUGAACGGGCCGUCCAGCGUCGUCGGAAUGCCGCCGCCAUCGACGAGUAG